UGUCGGGUAAUGUUAAUGGUAGCAUGGCUGACUGUUAAUCAGUAAGUGAGGGUUCGAGUCCCUCCCUGACAG
rnacentral:tRNA from 1 species